UCUUGAAAUUUAUAUUGCAAAAUUUAUUAAUUAUUUUUAUAGAUUAUGCAUUAAAACUAAACAACAAAAUAGUAAUAAAAAAACACUAAAAUAAGUGUUAAUCCCUGAACUUCUUUUUUAUUGGUCAAAAAAGAAGGGCAAGGAUUACCCCUUAUUAGAUCACAACCAUUGAUUAAACAUCAUCCAACGGACACCACUAAACAUUUUUUUUUCAUUUUUUUUUAAUUUCUUCAUCUUCUCUCACGUCUCUUCCUCUCCUACUCUCUUUCUCUCCACUGUGAAAAAGCUAUCUUCUACUCUUCCAUUCUUUCUCUCUUCUUUUACAGAUCUAGUCGCUUUUGCACGGAACGGAGAUUCAAUCGACCAGUACACGUGAGGCUGUGUCCCCUUUGCGCUUUUGCAGAGCAUGGCAAACUCGAUUUCGAGUUUGUUUAAGAUGGAUAUGAGUCCUUCUCUGUGCCAGACUGAGUGGUUGCGAGCAGAGAUACUGGUCCGUGGUCGUGAGCAGCCAUGAAAUCUUCUGAUUUCAAGAAAGACGAGACGGAGUUCCAGUAGAUCUGGAAGAAGCUGGAGGAGAUGAGGCUUCAUGGGGAAGACGACGUCCACAUGGAGAUGAUGAUGAAUACACGACCAUGUCCAACGGCGACGGAAGGAGGUGGAGGACUACCGGUACGGUGGUUGAAGACUUUGACGGUGGAAAAAAAGAUGAAGCUAUGGCGGCUGAGUUUCUUUUUAUUUUAGGUUUAGUGUUUCUUUAGGUUUUUUUUGCUUUUGCAAACCAAAUUGGAGAAAUUGUGGUUGGUUACUUUAUUUUUUAAUUUCUGGUUUAUUUUUGUAGACCGGAAUUUAUUUAUAUAAAACAAUUUCAAUUUCA